CCUACGGGAGGCAGCAGUGAGGAAUAUUGGUCAAUGGCCGGAAGGCUGAACCAGCCAAGCCGCGUGAAGGACGAAGGUACAAAGCAUUGUAAACUUCUUUUGUCAAGGGACAAAAUCAGGCACGAGAGCCUGACCGAGGGUACUUGAAGAAAAAGCAUCGGCUAACUCCGUGCCAGCAGCCGCGGUAAUACGGAGGAUGCGAGCGUUCUCCGGAUUUAUUGGGUUUAAAGGGUGCGUAGGCGGACUGUUCAGUCAGCGGUAAAAGCCCGGGGCUCAACCCCGGCGCGCCGUUGAAACUGGCUGUCGUGAGUUGUAGAGAGGUAUGCGGAAUGCGCGGUGUAGCGGUGAAAUGCAUAGAUAUCGCGCAGAACUCCGAUUGCGAAGGCAGCAUACCGGCGGCGCUCUGACGCUGAGGCACGAAAGCGUGGGUAUCGAACAGGAUUAGAUACCCGAGUAGUC
rnacentral:rRNA from 1 species